AAUAUCACUCACAAGUUUGAAUAGCCUCUCUUUUCUCAUUACUUACACAUAACACACACACUUUUGAGGUCUUUCGGGUUGUAGCUUGGCUUGAGUUAGGGUAUGGAUUAAAAAAAGGAAAACAAGGGGCUUUUGGUUCAGAGUCGAUGUUACAUCCUGUGUUUGUUUCUUUUAUUUCCUCGAUUUUCUUUUCUUAUUUCUUGAAUUUUU
rnacentral:lncRNA from 1 species